rnacentral:rRNA from 1 species
GACGAACGCUGGCGGCGCGCCUAAAACAUGCAAGUCGAACGAGAAGCCCGGGCUUGCCCGGGUGGACAGUGGCGAACGGGUGAGUAACACGUGAGGAACCUGCCCCGAAGACCGGGACAACACCGGGAAACCGGUGCUAAUACCGGAUGCCUUCACCGGAUCGCAUGGUCUGGUGAAGAAAUGGAUUCCGCUUCGGGAUGGCCUCGCGGCCUAUCAGCUUGUUGGUGAGGUAACGGUUCACCAAGGCAACGACGGGUAGCUGGUCUGAGAGGAUGUCCAGCCACACUGGGACUGAGACACGGCCCAGACUCCUACGGGAGGCAGCAGUUAGGAAUCUUGCGCAAUGGACGAAAGUCUGACGCAGCGACGCCGCGUGCGGGAUGAAGGCCCUCGGGUUGUAAACCGCUUUCAGCAGGGACGAAAUUGACGGUACCUGCAGAAGAAGCCCCGGCCAACUACGUGCCAGCAGCCGCUGUAACAC